UACGUAGGUGGCAAGCGUUGUCCGGAUUUACUGGGCGUAAAGAGCGCGCAGGCGGUCGGCCAAGUCGAGUGUGAAAGCCCCCGGCUCAACUGGGGAGGGUCAUUCGAUACUGGUCGACUCGAAGGCAGGAGAGGGAAGCGGAAUUCCCGGUGUAGUGGUGAAAUGCGUAGAUAGUCGGGAGGAACACCAGUGGCGAAGGCGGCUUCCUGGCCUGUUCU
rnacentral:rRNA from 1 species